AGAGUUUGAUCCUGGCUCAGGACGAACGCUGGCGGCGUGCUUAACACAUGCAAGUGGAGCGACGAACCAGGCUUCGGCCUGGGGCAGAGCCGCGAACGGGUGAGUAACACGUGGGUAACGUGCCUCGAUGAUUGGGACAACCCGGGGAAACUCGGGCUAAUACCGAAUGUGCCCUCCGGCCACAAGGCCGCUGGGGGAAA
rnacentral:rRNA from 1 species